UGUUUCGGCUAGGGGGCCAUCCCGGCUUACCAACCCGAUGCAAACUGCGAAUACCGGAGAAUGUUAUCACGGGAGACACACGGCGGGUGCUAACGUCCGUCGUGAAGAGGGAAACAACCCAGACCGCCAGCUAAGGUCCCAAAGUCAUGGUUAAGUGGGAAACGAUGUGGGAAGGCCCAGACAGCCAGGAUGUUGGCUUAGAAGCAGCCAUCAUUUAAAGAAAGCGUAAUAGCUCACUGGUCGAGUCGGCCUGCGCGGAAGAUGUAACGGGGCUAAACCAUGCACCGAAGCUGCGGCAGCGACACUGUGUGUUGUUGGGUAGGGGAGCGUUCUGUAAGCCUGUGAAGGUGGCCUGUGAGGGUUGCUGGAGGUAUCAGAAGUGCGAAUGCUGACAUAAGUAACGAUAAAGCGGGUGAAAAGCCCGCUCGCCGGAAGACCAAGGGUUCCUGUCCAACGUUAAUCGGGGCAGGGUGAGUCGACCCCUAAGGCGAGGCCGAAAGGCGUAGUCGA
rnacentral:rRNA from 1 species